rnacentral:rRNA from 1 species
CUCUGAGACAGGUGCUGCAUGGCUGUCGUCAGCUCGUGUUGUGAAAUGUUGGGUUAAGUCCCGCAACGAGCGCAACCCUUAUCCUUGUUUGCCAGCGAGUAAUGUCGGGAACUCCAGGGAGACUGCCGGUGAUAAACCGGAGGAAGGUGGGGACGACGUCAAGUCAUCAUGGCCCUUACGAGUAGGGCUACACACGUGCUACAAUGGCGCAUACAGAGGGCAGCAAGCUAGCGAUAGUGAGCGAAUCCCAAAAAGUGCGUCGUAGUCCGGAUUGGAGUCUGCAACUCGACUCCAUGAAGUCGGAAUCGCUAGUAAUCGUAGAUCAGAAUGCUACGGUGAAUACGUUCCCGGGCCUUGUACACACCGCCCGUCACACCAUGGGAGUGGGCUGCAAAAGAAGUGGGUAGUUUAACCUUUCGGGGAGGACGCUCACCACUUUGUGGUUCAUGACUGGGGUGAAGUCGUAACAAGGUAGCCCUAGGGGAACCUGGGGCUGGAUCACCUCCUUAUACGAAGAUA